GGCAGAGGGAGCCCGGCCUCCGUGCUCAGGCCCGCGUCGACUCCGUCGGCGCGCUACGGGCAUGAGGAAAGUCCCCCCACCGUCCGGGCAGGUGACCGGGUGCAAACCCGGAGCGGGCGACCGCUGGCGCUGGAACAGAAACGAGACCCCUUUCCCCGACCGAUGACGUGCGCGAACUCCGAGCGAGGCUCCGCCGAAGCGAGGGAGAGCUAACCCACGGAGGGUCGACGGGAAAGAACGGAUGGAACGGCGAAUCCUCACCGGUGCAAGUCCGCGCGGCAAGGUAGCCCGGACGCGAGCGCGGACGCUCAGCCGAAUGCCGGGCCGAACAGAAGGGGGCUUACUCCCCUCAGCC
rnacentral:RNase_P_RNA from 1 species